rnacentral:rRNA from 1 species
AAAAGUACAAGGUCUCCGUUGGUGAACCAGCGGAGGGAUCAUUACCGAGUUUACAACUCCCAAACCCAAUGUGAACGUUACCAAACUGUUGCCUCGGCGGGAUCUCUGCCCCGGGUGCGUCGCAGCCCCGGACCAAGGCGCCCGCCGGAGGACCAACCAAAACUCUUUUUGUAUACCCCCUCGCGGGUUUUUUAUAAUCUGAGCCUUCUCGGCGCCUCUCGUAGGCGUUUCGAAAAUGAAUCAAAACUUUCAACAACGGAUCUCUUGGUUCUGGCAUCGAUGAAGAACGCAGCGAAAUGCGAUAAGUAAUGUGAAUUGCAGAAUUCAGUGAAUCAUCGAAUCUUUGAACGCACAUUGCGCCCGCCAGUAUUCUGGCGGGCAUGCCUGUCCGAGCGUCAUUUCAACCCUCGAACCCCUCCGGGGGGUCGGCGUUGGGGAUCGGCCCUCCCUUAGCGGGUGGCCGUCUCCGAAAUACAGUGGCGGUCUCGCCGCAGCCUCUCCUGCGCAGUAGUUUGCACACUCGCAUCGGGAGCGCGGCGCGUCCACAGCCGUUAAACACCCAACUUCUGAAAUGUUGACCUCGGAUCAGGUAGGAAUACCCGCUGAACUUAAGCAUAUCAAUAAGCGGAGGAAAAGAAACCAACAGGGAUUGCCCCAGUAACGGCGAGUGAAGCGG